rnacentral:ribozyme from 12 species
AGACAAACAAUAAAUUGAGAAAAACAAUCUCUCUUUUCUUUUUUUUUUUUUUUUUUUUUUUUUUUUUUUUUUUUCUUCUUUUUUUUUUUUUUUGUUAUGACCUGUAAA